GACGUAGGGCGCGAGCGUUGUCCGGAUUUAUUGGGCGUAAAGAGCUCGUAGGCGGCUUGUCGCGUCGUCUGUGAAAUCCCGCGGCUCAACCGCGGGUCUGCAGUCGAUACGGGCAGGCUAGAGUUCGGUAGGGGAGACUGGAAUUCCUGGUGUAGCGGUGAAAUGCGCAGAUAUCAGGAGGAACACCGGUGGCGAAGGCGGCAUUCUGGACCGAAACUGACGCUGAGGCGCGAAAGCCAGGGGAGCAAACGGG
rnacentral:rRNA from 1 species